rnacentral:rRNA from 1 species
UUCCGGUUGAUCCUGCCGGACCCCACUGCUAUCGAGAUGGGACUAAAGUAUGCUAGUCGAACGACCAGAACUAUGUCUGGAGGUGGCACACUGCUCAGUAACACGUAGCUAACCUACCCUUAGGACGUGGAUACCCCCGAGAAAUUGGGGUUAAUCCGCGAUAGGUGUAAUGUCCUGGAAUGGUAUUACGCCUAAAGGUGUAUCAUACAUGUUUGAUAUACGCCUAAGGAUGGGGCUGCGGCCGAUCAGGCUGUUGGUGAGGUAAUGGCUCACCAAACCUUUGACCGGUACGGGCCAUGAGAGUGGUAGCCCGGAGAUGGACACUGAGACAAGGGUCCAGGCCCUAAGGGGCGCAGCAACCGCGAAACCUCCACAAUGCACUCACGUGCGAUGGGGCUAUCUCGAGUGCCACCUGAUGAAGGUGGCUUUUCCUAGGUCUUCAAAGCCUUGGGAAUAAGAGGGGGGCAAGACUGGUGUCAGCCGCCGCGGUAACACCAGCCCCUCGAGUGGUGGGGAUGAUUAUUUGGCCUAAAGCGUCCGUAGCCGGCCGAGCAAGUCUUCCGUUAAAUCCAGCGUCUCAAGCGUUGGACUGCGGGAGAUACUACACGGCUAGAGAGUGGGAGAGGUCAGCGGUAUUCUGGGGGUAGGGGCGAAAUCCUUUGAUCCCCGGAGGACCACCAGUGGCGAAGGCUGCUGUCUAGAACACGUCUGACGGUCAGGGACGAAAGCUGGGGUAGCGAACCGGAUUAGAUACCCGGGUAGUCCCAGCCGUAAACGAUGCAUGCUAGGUGUU